UCCCUGGUGGCUCAAAUAGUAAAGAAUCUGCCUGUAAUGCAGGAUACCCAGGUUCAAUACCUGGAUCGGGAA
rnacentral:tRNA from 1 species